UACGUAGGGGGCAAGCGUUGUCCGGAAUUAUUGGGCGUAAAGAGCUCGUAGGCGGCUUGUCACGUCGGCUGUGAAAACCCGGGGCUCAACUCCGGGCCUGCAGUCGAUACGGGCUGGCUUGAGUGCGGUAGGGGAGACUGGAAUUCCUGGUGUAGCGGUGAAAUGCGCAGAUAUCAGGAGGAACACCGGUGGCGAAGGCGGGUCUCUGGGCCGUAACUGACGCUGAGGAGCGAAAGCGUGGGGAGCGAACAGG
rnacentral:rRNA from 1 species